rnacentral:lncRNA from 1 species
UGGGGAGGCCUUACAAAUAGCUGUGAAAAGAAGAGAAGCAAAAAGCAAAGGAGAAAAGGAAAGAUAUAAGCAUCUGGAUGCAGAGUUCCAAAGAAUAGCAAGAAGAGAUAAGAAAGCCUUCUUCAGUGAUCAAUGCAAAGAAGUAGAGGAAAACAACAGAAUGGGAAAGACUAGAGAUCUCUUCAAGAAAAUUAGAGAUACCAAGGGAACAUUUCAUGCAAAGAUGGGCUCAAUAAAGGAUAGAAAUGGUAUGGACCUAACAGAAGCAGAAGAUAUUAAGAAGAGGUGGCAAGAAUACACAGAAGAACUGUACAAAAAAGAUCUUCAUGACCCAGAUAAUCACGAUGGUGUGAUCACUGACCUAGAGCCAGAUAUCCUGGAAUGUGAAGUCAAGUGGGCCUUAGAAAGCAUCACUAUGAACAAAGCUAGUGGAGGUGAUGGCAUUCCAGUUAAGCUAUUUCAAAUCCUGAAAGAUGAUGCUGUGAAAGUGCUGCACUCAAUAUGCCAGCAAAUUUGGAAAACUCAGCAGUGGCCACAGGACUGGAAAAGGUCAGUUUUCACUCCAAUCCCAAAGAAAGGCAAUGCCAAAGAAUGCUCAAACUACCACACAAUUGCACUCAUCUCACACACUAGUAAAGUAAUGCUCAAAAUUCUCCAAGCCAGGCUUCAGCAAUACGUGAACCAUGAACUUCCUGAUGUUCAAGCUGGUUUUAGAAAAGGCAGAGGAACCAGAGAUCAAAUUGCCAACAUCCGCUUGAUCAUGGAAACAGCAAGAGAGUUCCAGAAAAACAUCUAUUUCUGCUUUAUUGACUAUGCCAAAGCCUUUGACUGUGUGGAUCACAAUAAACUGUGGAAAAUUCUGAAAGAGAUGGGAAAUACCAGACCACCUGACCUGCCUCUUGAGAAAUCUGUAUGCAGGUCAGGAAGCAACAGUUAGAACUGGACAUGGAACAAAGACUGGUUCCAAACAGGAAAAGGAGUACGUCAAGGCUGUAUAUUGUCAGCUUAUUUAACUUGUAUACAG